GAAGUGGUAAAGCCGUAUUGGUAGCGGUAUGGGCUGUGCAGUUUGAUGCCUUCUGUAUGGCUCGCGUUUGGUCGCUCUAACGUCCGGUGGUUCGAUUCCACCCCACUUCGCCA
rnacentral:tRNA from 1 species